rnacentral:rRNA from 1 species
GACGAACGCUGGCGGCGUGCUUAACACAUGCAAGUCGAACGGAAAGGCCCUGCUUUUGCGUGGUGCUCGAUUGCCGAACGCGGGUGUAACACGUGAGUAUCCUGCCCUUGACUGUGGGGUAACUUCUGGGAACUCCGGCUAAUACCGGAUAGGAGCUCCUGCUGCGUGUUGGUGGUUGGAAAGUUUCGGCGGUUCGGGAUGGACUGGCGGCUUAUCAGCUCGUUGGUGGGGUAGUGGCUUACCAAGUCUUUGACGGGUAGCCGACCUGAGAGGGUGACCGGGCACAUUGGGACUGAGAUACGGCCCAGACGGGUACGGGAGGCAGCAGUCGAGAAUAUUGCAGAAUGGGCGGAAGCGUGAUGCAGCAGUGCCGCGAGCGUGAUGACGGCCUUCGGGUGGUAAACAGCUGUCGCCUGAAACGAAGCGUGAGUGACGGUAAUGGGUAAAAAAGCAACGGCUAACUACGUG